UUUUCUAAGUGGACCUGUCCCAACUCCCAGUGACACAACAGGCACAGAAAAAUAUUUGGUACUGGUUGUGCCUCCACAGUCCCCUCCCUGUGACCAAAAUCUUCCCUUAGUUAUGCAUUUAUUUAUUGUUUUGAGUUACAUGCAGUGCUUGAAGUGGGGAAAGGACAAGGCCAGAAGGACUGCUGACGCGCUGAACCAGGCUGUCCCUUUCUGCCAGCAGUGGGGUGGACUUAUUAGAAAUCCGAGCUUCAUUUCACCAGUGAGUUUCAUUUGACCCUCACCAAUGUGCACUGAAACYUUAAGGACUAAAGCUUUUCUCUCUGCUGUCUAUUUGGUGAUUGAAUUAAACGAACAAGAAUGAUGGAUGUGUUUAACCAUUUUAAUACAACCCAAGCAAUUGGGCUAUGCUUUCCUGGUGCAUCUGAUGCUACAAAACCGUGUGCUCUUUUCCRUCCAAAGAUUUAGCAAGUGAUACAUACAAGAUAUGACUUUCUGAUGUUGAAGGAAAACAAACAAGCCCCUACUUCCCCCUUAAGGGAAACAAAUGGUCUGAGAAACUUUUUGUUAUUCCAGUGUGGGCCUGGUUCCGCCAGCUCAAGAUUGGACAUCCAGAAUGAGCAU
rnacentral:lncRNA from 1 species